rnacentral:lncRNA from 1 species
GUUUAAAUAAGAUGAAGUUAGUAAGAGUUUUGCUUUUAUGUUUUUGUUGUAUGAGUUGAAAAAUAAAGUUUGAUAUACUAUGGUAGAGCCCACGAUGGGAUAAAGUUUGUAUAACCCUACAAUGGAGUAGAACUUGGUGAUAUGAUAGGUUGAAUCAAUUAUAUUACUGGGUACAUAAACAUAGGCCUACUAUGUGUUGGACAAUAUUCCCUGA